rnacentral:rRNA from 1 species
CACACCGCCCGUCACACCAUGGGAGUUGGUUGGACCAGAAGUCGCCGCGCUAACCCGCAAGGGAGGCAGGCGCCCAAGGUCUGAUUAGCGACUGGGGUG